rnacentral:misc_RNA from 1 species
UUAUAUGAAUGCGCCAACGGCUCCCGGGUCGGCGGCGUACCUCUCACGAGGCCAUCCUUUGUCUAUGAGUACCUCUUUUCCUCAGCGGGCUUGCUCGCUGCAGGACCUUUUGAACAAACCUUUUAGAAUCAUUUGUCUGAAGCAAAAGUAAUUAAAUUA